UACAGAGGUCUCAAGCGUUGUUCGGAUUCAUUGGGCGUAAAGGGUGCGUAGGCGGCGCCGUAAGUCAGGUGUGAAAUUUCGGAGCUUAACUCCGAAACUGCAUUUGAUACUGCGGUGCUUGAGGACUGGAGAGGAGACUGGAGUUUACGGUGUAGCAGUGAAAUGCGUAGAGAUCGUAAGGAAGACCAGUGGCGAAGGCGGGUCUCUGGACAGUUCCUGACGCUGAGGCACGAAGGCCAGGGGAGCAAACGGG
rnacentral:rRNA from 1 species